rnacentral:tRNA from 1 species
GCCUGGGUGGCUCAGUCGGUUGAGCAUCUGACUUCAGCUCGGGUCAUGAUCUCACAGUCUGUGAGUUCGAGCCCCGCGUCGGGCU